GACGGAGGAUGCAAGCGUUGUUCGGAAUUACUGGGCGUAAAGAGUGUGUAGGCGGUGCUCUAAGUUCGGUGUGAAAUCUCCCGGCUUAACUGGGAGGGUGCGCCGGAAACUGGAGUGCUCGAGUGUGGGAGAGGAAAGCGGAAUUCCUGGUGUAGCGGUGAAAUGCGUAGAUAUCAGGAGGAACACCUGCGGUGUAGACGGCUUUCUGGACCAUUGCUGACGCUGAGACACGAAAGCGUGGGUAGCAAACAG
rnacentral:rRNA from 1 species